UGGGGAAUUUUGGACAAUGGGCGAAAGCCUGAUCCAGCAAUGCCGCGUGUGAAGAAGGCCUUCGGGUUGUAAAGCACUUUUGUCCGGAAAGAAAUCCUUGGCUCUAAUACAGUCGGGGGAUGACGGUACCGGAAGAAUAAGCACCGGCUAACUACGUGCCAGCAGCCGCGGUAAUACGUAGGGUGCAAGCGUUAAUCGGAAUUACUGGGCGUAAAGCGUGCGCAGGCGGUUUGCUAAGACCGAUGUGAAAUCCCCGGGCUCAACCUGGGAACUGCAUUGGUGACUGGCAGGCUAGAGUAUGGCAGAGGGGGGUAGAAUUCCACGUGUAGCAGUGAAAUGCGUAGAGAUGUGGAGGAAUACCGAUGGCGAAGGCAGCCCCCUGGGCCAAUACUGACGCUCAUGCACGAAAGCGUGGGGGGCAAACAGGAUUAGAUACCCUGGUAGUCCAGCGCCCUAAACGAUGUCAACUAGUUGUUGGGGAUUCAUUUCCUUAGUAACGUAGCUAACGCGUGAAGUUGACCGCCUGGGGAGUACGGUCGCAAGAUUAAAAACUCAAAUGAAUUGACGGGGUCAUA
rnacentral:rRNA from 1 species